rnacentral:rRNA from 1 species
UCGAUUUGGAGUUUGUUGCCCUGAGUGAUGGGCUCCGAAGCUAACGCGAUAAAUCGACCGCCUGGGGAGUACGGCCGCAAGGUUAAAACUCAAAUGAAUUGACGGGGGCCCGCACAAGCGGUGGAGCAUGUGGUUUAAUUCGAUGCAACGCGAAGAACCUUACCUGGUCUUGACAUCCACAGAAUCUUGCAGAGAUGCGAGAGUGCCUUCGGGAACUGUGAGACAGGUGCUGCAUGGCUGUCGUCAGCUCGUGUUGUGAAAUGUUGGGUUAAGUCCCGCAACGAGCGCAACCCUUAUCCUUUGUUGCCAGCGGUUCGGCCGGGAACUCAAAGGAGACUGCCGUUGAUAAAGCGGAGGAAGGUGGGGACGACGUCAAGUCAUCAUGGCCCUUACGACCAGGGCUACACACGUGCUACAAUGGCGUAUACAAAGGGAGGCGACCUCGCGAGAGCAAGCGGACCUCAUAAAGUACGUCUAAGUCCGGAUUGGAGUCUGCAACUCGACUCCAUGAAGUCGGAAUCGCUAGUAAUCGUGAAUCAGAAUGUCACGGUGAAUACGUUCCCGGGCCU